CUUUAGUUUGACAUCCCGUCAAUAGGUCAUCCAUGUAAAAAUCUCUUAAGACUCUCUCCGCUGCCAUAGGAUAACUCCCACCCUCAUCAAUAGCCACUUGUUGCAAUGUCUUGACAGCCAAGUAUGGCGCAGAUGCCGUUCCAAACGUCACUCUUAGCAUUCUAUAGUGAUUUAUCUCAGUUUCAGGGUCAUCUCUCCAGAGUACCCGUUGAUAAUCCACAUCUGAUUCCGAGAUCUUCACUUGCCGAUACAUUUUGGCUAUGUCAGACGUGAGACAAACGGGGAGGCAUCGUACACUACCCGUACCUUCGUCGUUUCCCUGUCUUCUCGUAUGACUGCGUGAUGGGAUAUCUCCCUGGAGUUGUCUACACAAGGAGGAUCAUUCUUCAAGGGAAGUCGAACUACAUAUCUCCCUUCCUCGUCUCUUGAAGUUGUCUUUGUGAAUAUCUCCUCACAUCUUUUUUCUUCCUCUGUAAACAUUUUUUCUCUUUUUAUUUCAGGUUCCGCUUCCAGUUCCCAGAACUUUUUAAGGAGAUCAUUUUCAUCCAUC